rnacentral:rRNA from 1 species
UACGGAGGGUGCAAGCGUUAUCCGGAUUCACUGGGUUUAAAGGGUGCGUAGGCGGGCAGAUAAGUCAGUGGUGAAAUACCUGAGCUUAACUUGGGAACUGCCAUUGAUACUAUUUGUCUUGAAUGUCGUGGAGGUUAGCGGAAUAUGUCAUGUAGCGGUGAAAUGCUUAGAGAUGACAUAGAACACCUAUUGCGAAGGCAGCUAACUACGCGAAUAUUGACGCUGAGGCACGAAAGCCAGGGGAGCGAACGGG